GGCCGGUUAGCUCAGUCAGUUGAGCGUGGUGCUGACAAUGCCAAGGUCAUGGGUUCGAUUCCUGUUUGGUCCC
rnacentral:tRNA from 1 species